AGCUGGGGUGAGGCUUCGGCCUGCCGCGAAUUCAGGUAUUGGGUGGACCGCAAGGUUCAUCUGGUCCUGGGUUCACCAGUUUUAUGCGGGAGGAGGCUCCCUGCUCUUGAUUGAGUGGGGAUGUCCGCCAACCGCCGUUUACUUUGAAAAAAUUAGGGUGUUCAAAGCGUGUAACCAUUGCUCGAAUAGACUAGCAUAGGAUAAUGAAAUACGGCUGAAUUGUCGUUUUCGUUGGUUCGAUAAUUUGGCA
rnacentral:rRNA from 1 species